UACAGAGGGUGCAAGCGUUAAUCGGAAUACUGGCGUAAAGCGUGCGCAGACGGUUGCGUAAGUCAGAUGUGAAAGCCCCGGGCUCAACCUGGGAAUUGCAUUUGAGACUGCGUAGCUAGGGUGCGGAAGAGGGAAGCGGAAUUUCCGGUGUAGCGGUGAAAUGCGUAGAUAUCGGAAGGAACACCAGUGGCGAAAGCGGCUUCCUGGUCCAGCACCGACGUUCAGGCACGAAAGCGUGGGAGCAAACAGG
rnacentral:rRNA from 1 species